GACGAACGCUGGCGGCGUGCCUAAUACAUGCAAGUAGAACGCUGAAGCGAGGAGCUUGCUCUUCUUGGAUGAGUUGAGAACGGGUGAGUAACGUGUAGGUAACCUGCCUUGUAGCGGGGGAAAACUAGUGGACACGAUAGCUAAUACCGCAUAACAAUAGGUGACACAUGUCAUUUAUUUGAAAGGGGCAAUUGCUCCACUACAAGAUGGACCUUCGUUGUAUUAGUUGGUAGGUGGGGUAACGGCUCACUUAGGGGACGUUACCUAGCCGACCUGAGAGGGCGAUCGGCCACACUGGGACGGAGACACGCCCCAGUCUCCUACGGGAGGCAGCAGUAGGGAAUCGUCGGCAAGGGGGGCGACCCUGACCGAGAUACGCCGCGGGAGGGAAGAAGGUUGUCGGAUCGGAAAGCUCUGUUUUAGGCCAAGAACGAGUGUGAGAGUGGAAAGUUCACUCUGUGACGGUAGCUGAUCAGAAAGAGACGGCUAACUACGUG
rnacentral:rRNA from 1 species